rnacentral:rRNA from 1 species
UUAAGCGACUAAGCGUACACGGUGGAUGCCCUGGCAGUCAGAGGCGAUGAAGGACGUGCUAAUCUGCGAUAAGCGCCGGUAAGGUGAUAUGAACCGUUAUAACCGGCGAUUUCCGAAUGGGGAAACCCAGUGUGAUUCGUCACACUAUCAUUAACUGAAUCCAUAGGUUAAUGAGGCGAACCGGGGGAACUGAAACAUCUAAGUACCCCGAGGAAAAGAAAUCAACCGAGAUUCCCCCAGUAGCGGCGAGCGAACGGGGAGGAGCCCAGAGCCUGAAUCAGCAUGUGUGUUAGUGGAAGCGUCUGGAAAGGCGCGCGAUACAGGGUGACAGCCCCGUACACAAAAGCGCAUGUGCUGUGAGCUCGAUGAGUAGGGCGGGACACGUGGUAUCCUGUCUGAAUAUGGGGGGACCAUCCUCCAAGGCUAAAUACUCCUGACUGACCGAUAGUGAACCAGUACCGUGAGGGAAAGGCGAAAAGAACCCCGGCGAGGGGAGUGAAAAAGAACCUGAAACCGUGUACGUACAAGCAGUGGGAGCACAGGUUUACCUGUGUGACUGCGUACCUUUUGUAUAAUGGGUCAGCGACUUAUAUUCUGUAGCAAGGUUAACCGAAUAGGGGAGCCGGAGGGAAACCGAGUCUUAAUUGGGCGUUAAGUUGCAGGGUAUAGACCCGAAACCCGGUGAUCUAGCCAUGGGCAGGUUGAAGGUUGGGUAACACUAACUGGAGGACCGAACCGACUAAUGUUGAAAAAUUAGCGGAUGACCUGUGGCUGGGGGUGAAAGGCCAAUCAAACCGGGAGAUAGCUGGUUCUCCCCGAAAGCUAUUUAGGUAGCGCCUCGUGAAUUCAUCUCCGGGGGUAGAGCACUGUUUCGGCUAGGGGGCCAUCCCGGCUUACCAACCCGAUGCAAACUGCGAAUACCGGAGAAUGUUAUCACGGGAGACACACGGCGGGUGCUAACGUCCGUCGUGAAGAGGGAAACAACCCAGACCGCCAGCUAAGGUCCCAAAGUCAUGGUUAAGUGGGAAACGAUGUGGGAAGGCCCAGACAGCCAGGAUGUUGGCUUAGAAGCAGCCAUCAUUUAAAGAAAGCGUAAUAGCUCACUGGUCGAGUCGGCCUGCGCGGAAGAUGUAACGGGGCUAAACCAUGCACCGAAGCUGCGGCAGCGAACGUAUCACUUAAAGCGAUUCAGCGGGUUACGAUUGACGGAGCGAAGCGACGUCAAAGCGUAUACAAAGUCGAGUCGGUUUAAGGAUACGUUCGUUGGGUAGGGGAGCGUUCUGUAAGCCUGUGAAGGUGGCCUGUGAGGGUUGCUGGAGGUAUCAGAAGUGCGAAUGCUGACAUAAGUAACGAUAAAGCGGGUGAAAAGCCCGCUCGCCGGAAGACCAAGGGUUCCUGUCCAACGUUAAUCGGGGCAGGGUGAGUCGACCCCUAAGGCGAGGCCGAAAGGCGUAGUCGAUGGGAAACGGGUUAAUAUUCCCGUACUUGGUGUUACUGCGAAGGGGGGACGGAGAAGGCUAUGUUGGCCGGGCGACGGUUGUCCCGGUUUAAGCGUGUAGGUGUGUGUUCCAGGUAAAUCCGGUUCACUUUAACACUGAGGCGUGACGACGAGGCACUACGGUGCUGAAGCAACAAAUGCCCUGCUUCCAGGAAAAGCCUCUAAGCAUCAGGUAACAUCAAAUCGUACCCCAAACCGACACAGGUGGUCAGGUAGAGAAUACCAAGGCGCUUGAGAGAACUCGGGUGAAGGAACUAGGCAAAAUGGUGCCGUAACUUCGGGAGAAGGCACGCUGACACGUAGGUGAAGUGAUUUACUCAUGGAGCUGAAGUCAGUCGAAGAUACCAGCUGGCUGCAACUGUUUAUUAAAAACACAGCACUGUGCAAACACGAAAGUGGACGUAUACGGUGUGACGCCUGCCCGGUGCCGGAAGGUUAAUUGAUGGGGUCAGCGCAAGCGAAGCUCCUGAUCGAAGCCCCGGUAAACGGCGGCCGUAACUAUAACGGUCCUAAGGUAGCGAAAUUCCUUGUCGGGUAAGUUCCGACCUGCACGAAUGGCGUAAUGAUGGCCAGGCUGUCUCCACCCGAGACUCAGUGAAAUUGAACUCGCUGUGAAGAUGCAGUGUACCCGCGGCAAGACGGAAAGACCCCGUGAACCUUUACUAUAGCUUGACACUGAACAUUGAGCCUUGAUGUGUAGGAUAGGUGGGAGGCUUUGAAGCGUGGACGCCAGUCUGCGUGGAGCCGACCUUGAAAUACCACCCUUUAAUGUUUGAUGUUCUAACGUGGACCCGUAAUCCGGGUUGCGGACAGUGUCUGGUGGGUAGUUUGACUGGGGCGGUCUCCUCCUAAAGAGUAACGGAGGAGCACGAAGGUUGGCUAAUCCUGGUCGGACAUCAGGAGGUUAGUGCAAUGGCAUAAGCCAGCUUGACUGCGAGCGUGACGGCGCGAGCAGGUGCGAAAGCAGGUCAUAGUGAUCCGGUGGUUCUGAAUGGAAGGGCCAUCGCUCAACGGAUAAAAGGUACUCCGGGGAUAACAGGCUGAUACCGCCCAAGAGUUCAUAUCGACGGCGGUGUUUGGCACCUCGAUGUCGGCUCAUCACAUCCUGGGGCUGAAGUAGGUCCCAAGGGUAUGGCUGUUCGCCAUUUAAAGUGGUACGCGAGCUGGGUUUAGAACGUCGUGAGACAGUUCGGUCCCUAUCUGCCGUGGGCGCUGGAGAACUGAGGGGGGCUGCUCCUAGUACGAGAGGACCGGAGUGGACGCAUCACUGGUGUUCGGGUUGUCAUGCCAAUGGCACUGCCCGGUAGCUAAAUGCGGAAGAGAUAAGUGCUGAAAGCAUCUAAGCACGAAACUUGCCCCGAGAUGAGUUCUCCCUGAGACUUUAGGUCUCCUGAAGGAACGUUGAAGACGACGACGUUGAUAGGCCGGGUGUGUAAGCGCAGCGAUGCGUUGAGCUAACCGGUACUAAUGAACCGUGAGGCUUAACCUU